AUCGCUUCCCAGCCUUUUGGCUAAAAUCAAGUAUAGUGUCCGUUCUUAUCACUUUAACAAUUGUGUUGUGCCAAAUUUAUCUAAUAAUAUACAUAACAGGAUCACUGGAUCUAAAAUCAAAAUAUCUUUUUGAUAUCUUUAAGUGAUAUCUUUAGGAGCCCUGGUGGCGCAGUGGGUAAAUGCCUAUACUGCAGCCAUU